GAUGAAGAACGUAGCGAAAUGCGAUAAGUAAUGUGAAUUGCAGAAUUCAGUGAAUCAUCGAAUCUUUGAACGCACCUUGCGCUCCUUGGCAUUCCGAGGAGCAUGCCUGUUUGAGUGUCAUUAAAUUCUCAAGACCUGUCUGCUUUUUUGAUAGGUAUUGGAUUUUGGGGGUUGCAGGCUGUUUCAAAUAAAUAGCCUUGCUCUCCUUGAAUGUAUUAGUGGAGAAAAGCCAUUGAACUCCAUUGGUGUGAUAAAACCUAUCAAUGCCAGGAGCAAUAUCACUACUUCUCUCUGCUGUCUAACUGUGACUGUCCGUAUUAAUUAGUAUGGAUGGGGACAACUUGACCAACUUGACCUCAAAUCAGGUAGGACUACCCGCUGAACUUAAGCAUAUCAAUAAGCGGAGGA
rnacentral:misc_RNA from 1 species